rnacentral:rRNA from 1 species
UACGCAGGGGGCAAGCGUUUUCCGGAUUUAUUGGGCGUAAAGCGCUCGCAGGUGGUUUGCCGCGUCGUGCGUGAAAGACCCCGGCUCAACUGGGGAGGGUCGUGCGAUACGGGCAGCCUGGAGGCCAGUGGGGGAAUGCGGAAUUCCGGGUGUAGUGGUGGAAUGCGUAGAGAUCCGGAGGAACACCAGCGGCGAAGGGGGCAUCCUGGGCUGAUCCUGACACUCAGGAGGAAAAGCGUGGGAAGCAUUCCGG